rnacentral:misc_RNA from 1 species
CGUAAAGGUGCAUGAGUGGUGUUUGGUUUGUUACGGGUGGUUGGCUGUCUGCUUGCGCAGCAACGUCCAUGCGUGCAUACCUCUUCAGUUUUGUGGCAAGACUUGGUUUGUCUUGAUCAUAUUGUGGGUUUCUUGUGUUGCAUACCUAAUCGAUGGUAAUGUGUUGGUUUUAUGACGUUCCUUUUCGUCAUGCAUCGCUCAUGCGACGUGGGAUGAACCUUGAAGCGGUCUUUGUGAUCCAUAUUGUUGUUGCAUUUGCAACGAUGAUGUGGCUUAUGAAGCAUCGUUUGGUCUCUUGCUUACGGAACUUGAUGUGGGCAUGGGUUCUUUAAGGAUCCUGAAUUUGCCCUCGUUAAGCUUUUGGCUUCUCUAAAACGAUUCCUUACCAUGU